rnacentral:rRNA from 1 species
AAUGAACGCUGGCGGCAUGCCUAACACAUGCAAGUCGAACGAGUGGCGGACGGGUGGGUAAUGUCUGGGAAAAUGCCUGAUGGAGGGGGAUAACUACGGGAAACGGUAGAUAAUACCGCAUACCAUCAGAUGUGCCCAGGUGGGAUUAGCGUGUUGGGGGGGUAACGGCUGACCAAGGCGACGAUCCCUAGCUGGUCUGAGAGGAUGACCGGCCACACGGGAACGGAGACACGGGCCAGACUCCUACGGGAGGCAGCAGGGGGGAAUAUUGCACAAUGGGCGCAAGCCUGAUACAGCCAUGCCGCGUGUAUGAAGAAGGCCUUCGGGUUGUAAAGUACUGUCAGCGGGGAGGCGGUACCCACAGAAGAAGCACCGGCUAACUCCGUGCCAGCAGCCGCGGUAAUAC